GCANUGGGGAAUUUGCACAAUGGGCGCAGCCUGAUGCAGCACGCCGCGUGAGGGACGACGGCCUUCGGGUUGUAAACCUCUUUUAGUAGGGAAGAAGCGAAAGUGACGGUACCUGCAGAAAAAGCACCGGCUAACUACGUGCCAGCAGCCGCGGUAAUACGUAGGGUGCAAGCGUUAUCCGGAAUUAUUGGGCGUAAAGAGCUCGAGGAGCGGUUUGUCGCGUCUGCUGUGAAAUCUGGAGGCUCAACCUCCAGCCUGCAGUGGGUACGGGCAGACUAGAGUAGCGGUAACGAGGAGAUUGGAAUUCCUGGUGUAGCGGUGGAAUGCGCAGAUAUCAGGAGGAACACCGAUGGCGAAGGCAGAUCUCUGGGCCGUAACUGACGCUGAGGAGCGAAAGCAUGGGGAGCGAACAGGAUUAGAUACCCUGGUAGUCCAUGCCGUAAACGUUGGGAACUAGAUGUAGGGACCAUUCCACGGUUUUCUGUGUCGCACUAACGCAUUAAGUUCCCCCCCUUGGGGAGUUACCGCCCCCAAGGGUUUAAAACUCAAGGGAUUGACGGGGGCCCGCCCCAAGGGGGAGCGAUUGGGGAUUAAUUCGAUGCAACGCGAAGAAACUUUACCAAGGCUUGACAUAUNACCGGAAAAAUUUCAGAAAUGUUNUCCCCCGCAANGGUCGGUAUACAGGUGGUGCAUGGUUGUCGUCAGCUCGUGUCGUGAGAUGUUGGGUUUAGUCCCGCAACGAGCGCAACCCUCGUUNUAUGUUGCCAGCACGUAAUGGUNUGGAACUCAUAGGAGACUGCCGGGGUCAACUCGGAGGAAGGUGGGGAUGACGUCAAAUCAUCAUGCCCCUUAUGUCUUGGGCUUCACGCAUGCUACAAUGGCCGGUACAAAGGGCUGCAAUACCGCAAGGUGGAGCGAAUCCCAAAAAGCCGGUCUUCAGUUCGGAUUGAGGUCUGCAACUCGACCUCAUGAAGUCGGAGUCGCUAGUAAUCGCAGAUCAAGCAACCGCUGCGGGAAUACUUCCCNC
rnacentral:rRNA from 1 species